GACAGAGGGUGCAAACGUUGUUCGGAAUUACUGGGCGUAAAGCGCGUGUAGGCGGCCCUGCAAGUCGGAUGUGAAAUCCCACGGCUCAACCAUGGAAGUGCACUCGAAACUGCGUCGCUAGAGUCUCGGAGAGGAAGGUGGAAUGCUUGGUGUAGAGGUGAAAUUCGUAGAUAUCAAGCGGAACACCGGUGGCGAAGGCGGCCUUCUGGACAGUGACUGACGCUGAGGCUCGAAAGCAUGGGGAGCAAACAGG
rnacentral:rRNA from 1 species